AGCGCAUUGAAUGGAGCUUGCUCCCAGAUGUGAGCGGCGGAUGGGUAGAAUCACACGUGGGUAACCUGCCUGUCAGAAUGGGAUAACUAUGGGAAACCGUAUCUAAUACCGAAUGAUCCCCUGCACCACAUGGCGCAGGGUUGAAAGAUGGUUUCGGCCAUCACUGACAGAUGGGCCCGCGGUGCUUUAUUUAGUUGGCGGGGUAAUGGCCCCCCAACACUGCGAUGCAUAUCCGACCUGAGAGGGUGAUCGGCCACAUUGGGACUGACACCCGGCCCAAACUCCUACGGGAGGCAUCAGUAGAGGAAUCUUCCACUAUGGACGAAAGUCUGAUGGAUCAACGCCUCGUGACCGAAUAAGGUUUUCUGAUCUGUAAAGCUCUGUUGCCGGAGAAGAACGAACGAGAGAGGAAAUGGUUUUGCUGCGGCGGUAUCCGGCCAGAAAGCCACUGUUAACUUCCUGCCACCAGCCGCGAUAAUAC
rnacentral:rRNA from 1 species